rnacentral:tRNA from 1 species
ACCCGGCUGGCUCAGUCAGUAGAGCAUGUGAUUCUUAACCUCAGGUUCUCGAGUUCAAGUCCCAUGUUGGGUG